GGUUCUGUAGUGUAGCGGUUAGCACACGGGAUUCUGACUACUUUAGAACGUUCCCGUGACCCCGGUUCGAAUCCGGGCAGAACCU
rnacentral:tRNA from 2 species